rnacentral:rRNA from 1 species
UUUAAUUUGAGAGUUUGAUCCUGGCUCAGGACGAACGCUGGCGGCGUGCUUAACACAUGCAAGUCGAGCGAGGCGAUUAUGACAGAUCCUUCGGGUGAAGAUAUAUGAGCCUAGCGGCG